rnacentral:rRNA from 1 species
ACUCCUACGGGAGGCAGCAGUGGGGAAGUAUUGCACAAUGGGCGCAAGCCUGAUGCAGCCAUGCCGCGUGUAUGAAGAAGGCCUUCGGGUUGUAAAGUACUUUCAGCAGUGAGGAAGGUAGUGUAGUUAAUAGCUGCAUUAUUUGACGUUAGCUGCAGAAGAAGCACCGGCUAACUCCGUGCCAGCAGCCGCGGUAAUACGGAGGGUGCGAGCGUUAAUCGGAAUUACUGGGCGUAAAGCGCAUGCAGGUGGUUUGUUAAGUCAGAUGUGAAAGCCGGC